GUGGGGAAUAUUGCACAAUGGGGGAAACCCUGAUGCAGCAACGCCGCGUGAGUGAUGACGGUCUUCGGAUUGUAAAGCUCUGUCUUUAGGGACGAUAAUGACGGUACCUAAGGAGGAAGCCACGGCUAACUACGUGCCAGCAGCCGCGGUAAUACGUAGGUGGCAAGCGUUGUCCGGAUUUACUGGGCGUAAAGGGAGCGUAGGUGGAUAUUUAAGUGGGAUGUGAAAUACCCGGGCUUAACCUGGGUGCUGCAUUCCAAACUGGAUAUCUAGAGUGCAGGAGAGGGAAGGAGAAUUCCUAGUGUAGCGGUGAAAUGCGUAGAGAUUAGGAAGAAUACCAGUGGCGAAGGCGCCUUUCUGGACUGUAACUGACACUGAGGCUCGAAAGCGUGGGGAGCAAACAGGAUUAGAAACCCGAGUAGUCC
rnacentral:rRNA from 1 species